rnacentral:rRNA from 1 species
CCGGCGCACGGGUGAGUAACGCGUAUGCGACCUGCCCGUUGCAGGGGGAUAAUCGGGAGAAAUCCCGUCUAAUACCGCGUAAUGCCGCGGGGCUGCAUGGCCCUGCGGCCAAAGGGAGCGAUUCCGGCAACGGAUGGGCAUGCGUGACAUUAGCUAGUUGGCGGGGCAACGGCCCACCAAGACGACGAUGCGUAGGGGUUCUGAGAGGAAGGUCCCCCACACUGGUACUGAGACACGGACCAGACUCCUACGGAAGGCAGCAG